rnacentral:rRNA from 1 species
UACGAAGGGGGCUAGCGUUGCUCGGAAUUACUAGGCGUAAAGCGCACGUAGGCGGCUUUCUAAGUCGGGGGUGAAAUCCUGGAGCUCAACUCCAGAACUGCCUUCGAUACUGGAGAGCUUGAGUCCGGGAGAGGUGAGUGGAACUGCGAGUGUAGAGGUGAAAUUCGUAGAUAUUCGCAAGAACACCAGUGGCGAAGGCGGCUCACUGGCCCGGUACUGACGCUGAGGUGCGAAAGCGUGGGGAGCAAACAGG